UGUAAAUCGGUUGUAGAAGAAGUGUGUCGUAGACUAGAUAAUUUUGUGCUGAUCAACAACUGUACACCAACAGAUGACCAGCUGUUUGUAACAGUUUGCACACUUUUCAAUGAGCAUGUGUGACAACUGUUGGCAAAUAGUGCUUGCUCUGUGUAUAUGCAUGCACAUUUAGAUAAAUCAUGCAUACAAAGAGACAACGGGCUCCUUAUUAUGUAUACAGCACCUGAAUAGGUCAUUCAGUGGAACAUGCUAAACAAAAAAUGUUGAGAAUGUAUAACAUAUACAUA